rnacentral:lncRNA from 1 species
CUCCUGCAUGUGACGGACACAGCACUGAUCCUGGCAGCUCCUUACCCCCAGCAGCCCGAAACUCACUCCUUAAUUACACAAGGGAAACCUUUUACCUCCGCAGCCAGAGUCUGGGGGGAAAGGCAGGCGUGGGAAGAUGGGUUCUCUACCUGGCCAGUGCCAUGUUGCCUGUUUCUUUACUGUAACUGUGGUGACAAAGAAAAGGGAAGAUGGAGCCUCCAUGUUGAACAUACCUGGCCCCCAGCACUAACUCCCUCUCUGGAUAUCUGGAACAAGGAGGACCUUAAACUUAACAAUAAAGCCAAUGAUGGUUCUACCAGUCUCCCCAAAGCCUCAAGUUUAAAAGCCAUAUGAACUGGCUGAUAGUGGAAAAUGGAAGCCAUGAGGAAAUCAGAUUAGAGUACUACCUGGUGAAGCCUGGAGGACCUACCAAGAAAAGCAAACUUGGAUCUUUGCAAGGUUAGAAGAACGAAUGGGAUCCAAGAAAAAGACUGGUCAUAUUCAACGGCUAAGAGCGUUGGAGAAGGCCUGUGGAGUCUCAGCAGGUCAGGUCCAUGACUCAUGAGUAGACACCUGUGUUUCUACUGCCUGGUGCCAUAAUCAUAAACAAGGAAGAAACUGAGGACAGGAGGGGCCAAACAAGUUACAGUUUCAUCCCUCCAGAGAGCCAACAGAGUAUUUUGCACGAAGUUGAAGCUAAACAGGUAUUAUGUCCUAUCUCUGGACUGAAUGACUAGAUGCUACUCAGCUUCUGAACUAGAGGAAGCCUGGGACCUUGACCGCACUAAUGCUGAUGACAGCGGAUUUGCAAGUGGCUAGAGGUACCAGAUUUAGCAAAUCAAAAUAUAGGACGUCAAGUUAAAUUUAAGUGUAAGAUAAGCUACGAAUACCUUUUCUAGUAUUAGUACGUCCCAUGCAAUAUACUAGAAAUGUUAUUCGUUAUUUAUGUUAAAUUUAAUUUUAUUAGGGCAUCCUAUAUUUUACCUGUCAAUCCAACCCAUGACCUAGGCAGACACUGUAGAAAAACAAAAGGAGAAUUAAGGAGAUAAAUGAAACACAGGGUGAGCUGAAAAGAGGUGCUCUGUGAAUUUGAGGGUCCAGUAGGAGCUGACUUGUAGGUACUUGGUCUGUUUUGAUGCCCACAACAACCUUGGGGAAGGGGCGGAAUAGCAGAGGGGUAAGCUCUCUGCCCCCCACCAGGGUUCUGCAGGACGCCAGGGCUUUUAUCAGCACCCCUAUGUUCACAUCCUGGCUGCACCCUCCUUGGUUGUAUAUACUCUGGAUAAUUCACUUAAUUUAAAUCUUGCUGCUUUUAUAAAAUUGAUAAAAAGUUAAUAGUGACACUGAUCACACUGAUGUCCCUCAAUGAAUUAUCAAUAUGUUUUUUCUUCCCACCUAUAUUCUUUAUUGAACUCUGUUAUUUUUGAUCCUGGUCUAGAGUAAGCAUUAUGACCAUGCAAGAGUGAAAUGAAAUUUUUAAAAAUAAUUUUUUAAUGUUUUCUGAAUGCUGGGUGUUUUCAAUGAUCAUGCAUGACUGGCAGCAAAGAGGAACGAGGAUGGAUUCGAUAAGGUGCAACAAGUCCUGAACACACACAGAGAACUGGCUGUGAAUCCUGUUUCUGCCACUCACCACUUACUUGUUGGUGAAAAUGCUCAGGAUGUUCACUGCAGCCUGCCUCACCCUGGAAAAGAGAUGUGAGGAUAAUGAGAAAGAAGAGUAUGUUCAGUGCGGAGCAUGCAAAUUUGCAUGAAAACUUCCCAGGCAAAGCAGGAAAGAAACCAGACCUCUUUUCUGCACAAUAAUGGGGCCCACUAACUCUGGGGAAAAGAGUAAUCAGCAAAUGCCUUUCCUUUCUCCUGCUGAUGUUUUGCCCGUACUCAGACCCCUUGACUUCUUAGCUUCUACCCAAAGUGAGCUUGUCAUCAAAGUUCUCCAAAAAUCUGCAGUGUUCUCUUGAGCAAAUCUGCCUGCUCAAAUUUUCCUAUACAGUUCAAUACACUGAUUGAGGCCAGGCGCGGUGGCUCACACCUGUAAUCCCAGCACUUCGGGAGGCCAGACGGGUGGAUCACGAGCUUCCAAGACUAUAGCGCUCUGAUGCAUUGAGAUGACAGCAAGCGGCAUUUUUCAGUCCUGUUACCCAUAUGGCUGCUACCACUGCAUCCUGUUAAAUAAUGUCUUCAACCCAAGAAACCUGCUUCCUAGGGAAGUUUCUCUCUCUCUGCAUUUGUUCCCACUAGAGAAUGACCAUCACCAGAUUCCUGAACUGAAAAUGCUGUUGACACUUUGGAAACUCGGGCCUCUAUUAAUAGGGUGACCAACUAUCCUGGUUUACCUUGAGUACAGGAUUUUCAAUGCUAAAACCAGAAAAACCAGGAUGGUUGGUCAUCUGCCUCAGACCUAAUAAAUACCAGUCAAUAAUUCAGCCAUGA